rnacentral:rRNA from 1 species
UACAGAGGUCUCAAGCGUUGUUCGGAUUCAUUGGGCGUAAAGGGUGUGUAGGUGGCGCCGUAAGUCGGGUGUGAAAUUUCGGAGCUUAACUCCGAAACUGCAUUCGAUACUGCGGUGCUUGAGGACUGGAGAGGAGACUGGAAUUCAUGGUGUAGCAGUGAAAUGCGUAGAGAUCAUGAGGAAGACCAGUGGCGAAGGCGGGUCUCUGGACAAUUCCUGACACUGAGACACGAAGGCCCAGGGGAGCAAACGGG